GCCCUUGUAGCUCAAUCGGAUUCAGAGCGUUGGUCUACGGAACCAGAGGUUGCGGGUUCGAACCCCGCCGAGGGCAC
rnacentral:tRNA from 4 species